CUACGGGUGGCUGCAGUCGAGAAUCUUCCACAAUGGGCGAAAGCCUGAUGGAGCGACGCCGCGUGCAGGAAGAAGUCCUUCGGGAUGUAAACUGCUUUUAUAAAGGAAGAAGUCCCGCUUUUAGCGGGAUUGACAUUACUUUAGGAAUAAGGGGUUGCUAAACUCGUGCCAGCAGCCGCGGUAAUACGAGUGCCCCAAGCGUUAUCCGGAAUAACUGGGCGUAAAGCGCCUGUAGGGGGUUUUGUCAGCCUUGCUUUAAAGACCUGUGCUCAACACAGGGAAUGGGCGGGGAACAGCAGAACUAGAGGAUGCGAGAGGUUAAUGGAACUCUGGGUGUAGGGGUGAAAUCCGUUGAUAUCCAGGGGAACACCAAAGGCGAAGGCAAUUAACUGGCGCAUUCCUGACCCUGAGAGACGAAAGCGUGGGUAGCGAAAAGGAUUAGAUACCCUUGUAGUC
rnacentral:rRNA from 1 species